GCAUCUAUAGCUCAGUGGUAGAGCGUUCCACUCGUAAUGGAAAGGUCCGCGGUUCGAUCCCGCGUCGAUGCA
rnacentral:tRNA from 1 species